rnacentral:rRNA from 1 species
CAGGAAUAAGUCCCGGCUAAACUACGUGCCAGCAGCCCGCGGUAAAACGNUUACGGGGACAAGCCGUUAUCCGGAUUCACUGGGCGUUAAAGAAGCGUUGCNGCGCGGGUUCCGUUAACCAGGGGUUUGGGCGUGAAAGCUCCGGGCUUAAACUCGGAGAUGUCGUUCAAUACUGCGGGGCUUGAGGACAGCAGAGGAAGGUGGAAUUCCCGGUGUAGUGGUGAAAUGCGUAGAUAUCGGGAGGAACACCCGUGGCGAAGNCGGCCUUCUGGGCUGUUCCUGACGCUGAAGGCGAAAGCUAGGGGAGCGAACGGGAUUAGAUACCCCGGUAGUCCUAGCUGUAAACGAUGGAUGCUGGGUGUGGGGGGUGUAAAUUCCCUCUGUGCCGAAGCAAACGCGUUAAGCAUCCCGCCUGGGGACUACGGCCGCAAGGCUAAAACUCAAACGAAUUGACGGGGGCCCGCACAAGCAGCGGAGCGUGUGGUUUAAUUCGAUGCUACACGAAGAACCUUACCUGGGUUUGACAUGCACGUGGUAGGGAACCGAAAGGGGACCGACCUUCGGGAGCGUGCACAGGUGCUGCAUGGCUGUCGUCAGCUCGUGCCGUGAGGUGUCGGGUUAAGUCCCGUAACGAGCGCAACCCUUGCCCUUAGUUACAAGUGUCUAAGGGGACUGCCCGGGACAACUGGGAGGAAGGUGGGGAUGACGUCAAGUCAGCAUGGCCUUUAUAUCCAGGGCUACACACACGCUACAAUGGCCGGUACAAUAGGUUGCGAAGUCGUGAGGCGGAGCCAAUCCUCAAAGCCGGUCUCAGUUCGAAUUGCAGUCUGCAACUCGACUGCAUGAAGCUGGAGUUGCUAGUAAUCGCAGGUCAGCUAUACUGCGGUGAUACGUUCCCGGGCCUUGUACACACCGCCCGUCACGUCAUGGAAGCUGGCAACGCCUGAAGCCGGUGAGCUAACCCGAAAGGGAGGCAGCCG